rnacentral:rRNA from 1 species
AGGAUCAUUAGAAGAAAAGAAACGGGACAAAGAUCCCGUGGCCGCCCGCGGCGAGCCCCUGUUCAUGAGUACCGUAUGUUUCCUCGGCGGGUCCGCCCGCCAGCGAGGACCACUACCGAAACCUAUUGCAGUAGCAGUACCCGUCUGAACCAAAACCCUUCAAAACUUUCAACAACGGAUCUCUUGGCUCUGGCAUCGAUGAAGAACGCAGCGAAAUGCGAUAAGUAGUGUGAAUUGCAGAAUUCAGUGAAUCAUCGAAUCUUUGAACGCACAUUGCGCCCAUUGGCAUUCCUCUGGGCAUGCCUGUUCGAGCGUCAAACCUAACCUUCAAGCGCGGCUUGGUGUUGGGCGCCUGCCCCCGGGAAGCCCCCCGGGGACUCGCCUCGAAACGAUUGGCGGCGGGCCGCGGGCCCCGAGCGCAGCAGAGCACGCGCCCGGGAGCCCGCGGGGCACGCGAGCCAGGAGCGAACUCCAGACGUACACAUGACCUCGGAUCAGGUAGGGAUACCCGCUGAACUUAAGCAUAUCAAU